AUGGGUGAGCAUUCUGACAUGCCUCCCCCUCUCCUCCUGCGUGCGUAUCAGUCCCAUUUCUCUGUCAAGCUCGUCGGCCUUCUUCUUGAGAAACAACUCUCUUGUCUUGACGCUCAACAAAUCGGGUAUUAUGUGUACGAGCAUGAGGGCGGUUGCGCAAGACACGACGGCCGUGGAGACCUUGGCCGUGGUCAUGACGAUGGCGAUGGUCUUGGUGUGCAUGGUGAAGGUCCAGAGGUUUAUGAGGUGAGUGGCCCUGCAGAGGACGGUGAAGGCGCCGAACUGGAAGAGCACCCAUCGGUAGGGGAAGAAGGAUGGCUUCUUGAGGAAGUAGAUGAGCUCGAGUAG
rnacentral:rRNA from 1 species